rnacentral:rRNA from 1 species
UCGACGCGAGGACCCCGCAAGGGGGUUAGUAGAGUGGCAAACGGGUGAGUAACACGUGGGUGACCUACCUUCGAGUGGGGGAUAACGUUCCGAAAGGAGCGCUAAUACCGCAUGACAUCCUGCUUUUGGAAAAGCGGAAAUCAAAGCCGGGGAUCGCAAGACCUGGCGCUUGGAGAGGGGCCCGCGCCUGAUUAGCUAGUUGGUGGGGUAAUGGCCUACCAAGGCGACGAUCAGUAGCCGGCCUGAGAGGGCGGACGGCCACACUGGGACUGAGACACGGCCCAGACUCCUACGGGAGGCAGCAGUGGGGAAUUGUUCGCAAUGGGCGCAAGCCUGACGACGCAACGCCGCGUGGAGGACGAAGAUCUUCGGGUCGUAAACUCCUUUCGAUCGGAAAGAACGGCUCCGGGGCUAAUAUCCCCGGAGAGUGACGGUACCGAGAGAAGAAGCCCCGGCUAACUCCGUGCCAGCAGCCGCGGUAAUACGGGGGGGGCAAGCGUUGUUCGGAAUUACUGGGCGUAAAGGGCUCGUAGGCGGCCAACUAAGUCGGAUGUGAAAUCCCCAGGCUUAACCUGGGAACUGCAUCCGAUACUGGAUGGCUUGAAUCCGGGAGAGGGAUGCGGAAUUCCAGGUGUAGCGGUGAAAUGCGUAGAUAUCUGGAGGAACACCGGUGGCGAAGGCGGCAUCCUGGACCGGCAUUGACGCUGAGGAGCGAAAGCCAGGGGAGCAAACGGGAUUAGAUACCCCGGUAGUCCUGGCCCUAAAC